rnacentral:rRNA from 1 species
GCGAAACCUUUACACUGCGGGAAACCGCGAUAAGGGGACACCGAGUGCCAGCAUACAAUGCUGGCUGUCCACAUGUGUAAAUAGCAUGUGAUAGCAAGGGCCGGGCAAGACCGGUGCCAGCCGCCGCGGUAACACCGGCGGCCCGAGUGGUAAUCACUAUUAUUGGGUCUAAAGGGUCCGUAGCCGGUUUAAUCAGUCUUCCGGGAAAUCUGACAGCUCAACUGUUAGGCUUCCGGGGGAUACUGUUAGACUUGGGACCGGGAGAGGUAAGAGGUACUACAGGGGUAGGAGUGAAAUCUUGUAAUCCCUGUGGGACCACCAGUGGCGAAGGCGUCUUACCAGAACGGGUCCGACGGUGAGGGACGAAAGCUGGGGGCACGAACCGGAUUAGAUACCCGGGUAGUCCCAGCCGUAAACGAUGCUCGCUAGGUGUCUGGAAUGGUGCGACCGUUUCAGGUGCCGCAGGGAAGCCGUGAAGCGAGCCACCUGGGGAAGUACGGCCGCAAGCUGAAACUUAAAGGAAUUGGCGGGGAGCACUACAACGGGUGGAGCCUGCGGUUUAAUUGGACUCAACGCCGGACAACUCACCGGGGGCGACAGCAAUAUGUAGGUCAAGCUAAAGACUUUACCUGAAUCGCUGAGAGGAGGUGCAUGGCCGUCGUCAGUUCGUACUGUGAAGCAUCCUGUUAAGUCAGGCAACGAGCGAGACCCGUGCCCACUGUUGCCAGCAUAUCUUCGGGAUGAUGGGUACUCUGUGGGGACCGCCGAUGCUAAAUCGGAGGAAGGUGCGGGCUACGGUAGGUCAGUAUGCCCCGAAUCUCCCGGGCGACACGCGGGCUACAAUGGUUGGGACAAUGGGCUCCUACACUGAAAAGUGACGGUAAUCUCAUAAACCCAGCCGUAGUUCGAAUUGAGGGCUGAAACCCGCCCUCAUGAAGCUGGAAUCCGUAGUAAUCGCGUUUCAAUAUAGCGCGGUGAAUACGUCCCUGCUCCU